AGUGAACGCUGGCGGUAGGCCUAACACAUGCAAGUCGAACGGCAGCACAGUAAGAGCUUGCUCUUACGGGUGGCGAGUGGCGGACGGGUGAGGAAUACAUCGGAAUCUACUUUUUCGUGGGGGAUAACGUAGGGAAACUUACGCUAAUACCGCAUACGACCUACGGGUGAAAGCAGGGGAUCUUCGGACCUUGCGCGAUUGAAUGAGCCGAUGUCGGAUUAGCUAGUUGGCGGGGUAAAGGCCCACCAAGGCGCCGAUCCGUAGCUGGUCUGAGAGGAUGAUCGGCCACACUGGAACUGAGACACGGUCCAGACUCCUACGGGAGGCAGCAGUGGGGAAUAUUGGACAAUGGGCGCAAGCCUGAUCCAGCCAUACCGCGUGGGUGAAGAAGGCCUUCGGGUUGUAAAGCCCUUUUGUUGGGAAAGAAAAGCAGCAGGUUAAUACCCCACUGUUCUGACGGUACCCAAAGAAUAAGCACCGGCUAACUUCGUG
rnacentral:rRNA from 1 species